AGAAUAGUGUAAGAACACUGCUGCCCUUCUGUUACGAUUCACUUGGUUCAGUUUCCGUCGCAGUACGUAAGUCUGUUCGGUUAUGAAACAUGGCGGAGUUGAAGACAAUAACACCGCCAGGAAAUCUGCCAGCCCGAAAUAAGGUCAGCCAGUCAGAUGAAAGGAUUGCCGCUGAGAACGAAAAGGAUGAAAACGGCGAGGAAGCGACGUGCAGUAAAGUUAUGAGGACCAUGGCGCUAGUAUGUGUAUGGAUAGCAAUGGGAACAUAUAUGGAAAUAAAUGGUCCAACAUUGAAAGACUUAGUUCUAAGAACCGGAAGUAGCUACGAGGAUAUCACGAGUGCUGUAUCCGGUCGAAGUGUUGGCAAAUUUGUUGGUGUAGUGAUUGGGGGACUGCUAACUGACCGGUUCGGACGUUACUGUGACCUCUUCCUUGCUCUAUCGCUUACGGUAGCUGCGACAGCAGUGGCCAUUGUGCCGUAGAUUAACCAAACCGAGGUUCUAUGGGUCUUCUAUUUCCUGCUUGGCAUCACGAUCGGGACCAUUGACAUUGCUAGACAGAGAAUAGUGUUAGUCAGUUGGAAGGAACAGGCAGCCUCUCCGAUACACAUUGUUCACCUUGGUUACGGCGUGGGCGGAUUUAUCGCUCCUCUUAUGGCUAAUCCAUUCCUUGUUAACACCGAGACCGUUGGACCUAAUGUAACCAACUCAUCUGUUUCAAACAUCUCCGUGAUGCUGAUGUCUACUAUCUCCAUUCCUACUACGACCACAACAGUUAUUAUCUCCCCUUCCACAAUAGAAUAUGCGUACGGUAGUGUUGCUGGUCUGACCAUCGUGAUGGCUGGUGUUCUUUACAUGAAUCAAUGUAAAACAUCUCCACGUUUCAAACACAAGAAAGGCAAAACGGAAAACAGCGAACAAAAACUUACGAGAACUAGAAAAUGGCGGGAGAUGCUAAACCCUGCAUCCUGUGCUGAGGGCAGCUUCUGUUUCGGCUCCCUGAUUCUAGUAACAUUGUUUCUGAAAUAUUUCGUCUACACUGCUGUUGACAGGGUGUUUUCGACCUUUAUCAGGUCGUAUUCCAUCGAUCAACUUCAUUUCAGCAAUGAUGACGCCAGCUAC